rnacentral:rRNA from 3 species
UAUCAAUAAGCGGAGGA